UUAGAGUCGCAAUGAUGUUGAAAUCUACCUAUUUUAUGAACGAAGCUUGAGUUUUCAGUUCAUGAUUAGAAACAACCAAUGGAUCCUUCUGAGCACUCUA
rfam:Helianthus annuus linkage group 11, whole genome shotgun sequence.